GGGCAAACUUGGCCGGGGCUGUGAGUGACAUCAUUUGGAAGUGGAGCCUCUUUGCCUGAACAGGAAGGUUAUAAAAGGAACUGGCGGAGGACUGGGAGAGCAGCGGGAUGUGUCAGACAAUUUCAGCGUGUAUGUGACUGUAUUCUUUCGUGCCCCGCUGUGCGUGAUUCUUGUCUGUGUGUCUGUCACACUUUCAGCAUGAGAUAAGCGUGAUGGAUGUUGUAAGAGUUGUCUGUCAGGUUUAUAAUCAUAGUUAUUACAGCGAGUGGGAGACACACAGACACAGAGGGGGGAGAGGAGACACGUUCCAGGCUGUACGCAGCGUAAACAGGAAACAUCCAAACGUCUGAGACAGCGUGAUCUCGGUUCGUUCUGAUCCGUCAUUCACUUCUGAUAGUAUUGACAAAUUUCAAAGAGCACAUUGUAAGGUAAAACUAAAUGAAACUCCCCCAAUCAGAGUUGAGUCUUGCAGCUAUUUUGGGUUCAGACCCAGGGGGAGCAGAGGACUUGUUUUGAUGUAGGAGCAGAGAGUUUCAAAGGGGACUAAGGGUUCUGACCCUUAGGGGGCCUUAGGUGGCCCGUUACUCAUUCUGUAAGGUCAAUUAGUUCUUUUUAAACAACUUUUGAGCUGUCAAAAGUACUUUAAAUGGAAACAACACAGACAAAGUCACAGCUGUGGCUCAGUGGUAGGGUUGGGGUUCAAUUCCAGGUCUCGCUGUUUUCAGAACAAAGUGGCGUAGAAUUCUGUACGUUCAUUGGAACACUGUAAAUCCCUUUAAAUGCGGUCUCCUAGGUUUUUGGAGGAACUGGCAGUAGUUGCGAUUCAGCCAUGUUAACUCAUUCAGUGCCAAUGACAGAUUUGGACUGAUUUUUUUAUUUUCUCUGAGCACCAUUGACGGAUUUUGAAGUGUGCCAAUUAGACUAGUUGUGGAGUGUUUUUUCUCCAUGAGGAGAGGAGGAAUACGCCGAAGUCUUUAGCCAAGAGCUAGCGGUCUCAGCAAAUUGGCUCCCGUAGGCGGUGGUGCAACCGCCUCUGGAUCCAGUGGAGAUCCUGCUACCGGACCUUCACAUCAUCAGCAGACAAUCACAGAAAUGAUUUUCCAGCGUGUCGUUGUUCCAUCGGUGCUGGUACUGGUGAGUGAGACUGAGCUGGAAUUCAGCGACAGUCCGUGUGGUUCACGUCAUGGCGUCAGGUUCUCGAGAGCCAAUACGACUCAAGGCACAUCUUAAAACAGUCCAUAUGACGGGCUUCAGGACUGAUCAACAUUUUCAGAUUGUAUUGUCUUUCAUUUUUCUGUUAUUUUUCCUGUUUGAUGUCAUUGUGAAAAGAAUUAAGCUCUGUCUUUAGGUGUAGGUGUCUGAGGUCAGCUUGAGACUUUGCAGGUCCACAACAGUCCUCCACAGGAACCUCUGUGAUGCUGAAUUGCAGAAACCGUUGGGAAUAGGGUCAAG